CCUACGGGAGGCAGCAGUGAGGAAUAUUGGUCAAUGGGCGCUAGCCUGAACCAGCCAAGUAGCGUGAAGGAUGACUGCCCUAUGGGUUGUAAACUUCUUUUAUAUGGGAAUAAAGUGCAGUAUGUAUACUGCUUUGCAUGUACCUUAUGAAUAAGGAUCGGCUAACUCCGUGCCAGCAGCCGCGGUAAUACGGAGGAUUAGAGCGUUAUCCGGAUUUAUUGGGUUUAAAGGGAGCGUAGGCGGGUUGUUAAGUCAGUUGUGAAAGUUUGCGGCUCAACCGUAAAAUUGCAGUUGAUACUGGCAGCCUUGAGUACAGUAGAGGUAGGCGGAAUUCGUGGUGUAGCGGUGAAAUGCUUAGAUAUCACGAAGAACUCCGAUUGCGAAGGCAGCCUGCUGGACUGUAACUGACGCUGAUGCUCGAAAGUGUGGGUAUCAAACAGGAUUAGAUACCCCUGUAGUC
rnacentral:rRNA from 1 species